AAUAAAAAGCUCCUUUGCUAUAAUGAGAAAGUCUAACCUAAACUGAUAUUCUCUUCUCCAUCAAACAAGCCAUUAUAUAGACUUAAGCAGC
rnacentral:snoRNA from 1 species